UAAUUGGUGGGUACAUAGCACGUAUGGAACGGUUCAGGUAUUUAAGAAGCGAAAAGACCAGACCGAAAUGGAGAGACAUAAGAUGAGUCUGGCCCAGAAGAGCUCUGGUUUGAAUCGGCUUUAAGCUGCGCUCAAUGUCGGAUCUGGGCAUCGGUUCUUAGAAUUAAAGAAAGAAGAAGAGAACACGGCAUCUCCUGCGACCUCCAUUUCGUUCUCUCUCAUGUGCCUCUCUCUCAUGGCAGAUUCACUUAUCUAUGGCGAGUAGGCAUUUAGUGAGCUGUCGCUUGAAUAGUCUGUGGAAGGAGAGGUUAGACUCUGUGAUACUUUCGAAAAGCGUCAUUGUUUUACGCCAUGAUUUUCUCAGGAACAAAGGUCAGCUGGUGCUCGUAUGUGUUCUCAAAGGCUUCGACGUUUACGUCAACAUGGUCCUUGAGGAUUUCACCGAGUAACAGUAUAUUUUGCUGGCUUCAGAUGGAAGCAAAUUGCAGAGAUAGUGAAAGUAAAGAGCUGAGACUGGAGACAGGGCAACUGAGUGUGGUGGGUGCAGUGAGAGUUGCGGUCAGAAGCUCUUUCAUGGUGACUUGCUGAUAAUACUAUACGCCACAAAGAAAAAGCCGUUUAGAGACAAGUAGAAAUGAUAUGAAGUGAAAUCAAAUGUUAUAAAUCAUUGUACAUGAUAGGGCUGGGCGUUCGGGUACCCAUUCGGGUUUCGGUUUAGUCCAUUCGGUUUUCGGGUUUUCGGGGUCAAAGAUUUCAGCCCCAUUCGGAUAUUUCUAAAAUUUUGGUUCGGGUUCGGUUCGGAUCUUUGCGGGUUCGGUUCGGGUUCGGAUAACUCAUUUAAAAUGUUUUUAAAUUUUCAUAAUUCAUUAUAUACUUUAAAUUUUCAAAAUCUAUAAGAAAGAUAAUAUAUUACAUAUAAAUUUUCAUAACAUAUAUGUCAAAAUACCUUAAUUUAACAUAUAAAUUGGUUUUCUUUGAAUAUUUGGAUAAAAAAUCAAUAGAUAUUUAACUAUUUUGGUGUUUUCAGUAUACUUUAGCUAUUUUAAACAUUCACUUUUGACUAUUUGCAUAUAUUUUCCAAGUAUUUUGGAAAACUUAAAGGUAUCUUAUAUAUUUUUAAUAUUUUUAAUAUACAUUAUAUAUAAAAACAAUGUAUAUAUUUAAGUAUAUAAAUUUAUUUCGGAUACAUUCGGGUACCCAAAAUAUUUCGGUUCGGAUAGGGUUCGGUUUCGGUUCUUUAAAUACCGAAAUUUUGAACCCGUUCGGAUAUUUAAUCAAUUUCGGUUCAGGUUCGGUGCUACUUUUUCGGAUCGGGUUCGGUUCGGU